UGGCAUUUGUGUGAAAAUGCAGUGUGCA
rnacentral:piRNA from 1 species